AUUUAUUAGAGCAACUUUGUUCUAUUCCUUACAUAUGAUUCUCAUAUUACAGUAUUUAUUGAAUUUCUCUCAAUGAAAAUGAACUUUGUUAGUAUCAAUUCAACAACUUUUGUGUUGUUAUAUGACUAAGAAUUGCUUCUUGAUAUAUAUUUAGUGUGGAAGUGGCAACUGAAAAUGAAUUAGUAUUGGUUAGCUACUUAGCUUCAUCAAAGUAUUUGGGAAUUAGGGAACUGAGAGUAAUGGUUGAGAUGGGACAAGAUAUUUGAU
rnacentral:misc_RNA from 1 species